UUUUAGAUUUUUCUCUGAAAGUUUUUUUUCAUGAAAGGAAAUAAAAAGUUUUUUGAAGCUUGAAAGUUUUAGGGUUUUUGUGAAAUGAUUUUUUUAUUUCUCAAAUAAAUUUGAAGCAAUCCAAGUUGUUGUCUUGAGCUAUUUGUUAUUAAAUUAAAAUAUUAGGCUGAAUUUAAUUCCCAUUUAUUAUUGUGGGUAUCCAAGAUCCUGUUUUGGACUAUUUGUAAAUUUAUUUGACAAGCUUUGCUGCACAUCUCCAUUUUUUACAUUUUAAUUUCGAUUUCAAAUUUCAGCUUUCUGCUUGCUUUUCUUAUUUCCAUUUUCUUACUUUCAAUACUUUCAUUUACAUUAAAUAUUUUAACAUAAAACUAUAUAUAAAUAUUAAAAAUAUUUUUUUAUUGUCAUAUCCUGUUGUGUCUUCAUUUUUAAAAAGUUACUAUCGUUAUGUCCGUAUCGUAUUGUACCAAUAUUGCAUGUAUGUGAUCAUGUUUCAUAGCUAAAAUUUGAACACUAAACCCAAAAAAGUUUAUAAUAUUUGAUUCCAAUCUUUAGCCAUAUUGUUGAAUUUGAAACCCAACUCCAUGAGUUCCUUUGAUGAUAAACCAUUUUUGUUGGUAUCAGUAAAUUUGAACCAAAAGAAUCCAUACGUCUGUUAAGGUAAACCACAUCAAUCUAAAAACUUUCAUCCAUUAUGUCAACUUUCUCAAUGUUCAGAUAAACUGAGACAACACUAAAAGUGCAUAUAACUCUUGUCUUCUAAAUGCAGUUUCAUGUUUCUAAUUUCAUGGGCAUGGGCAUGGGCAUGUGUAGCUAUUUUAUCAACUACUACACUCUACAGAAACUUAAAAUUUCUCAGUCCAUUGAAUACCCUUCUCAUUUAUUGCAUUCAGAAUAAAUAACAUUGAUCUUGUAUUUCUAUACCUAGUGUUGGUUUUAUCGGUUUGUUGUUGUCUUGUUUUAAGGAAGCAAACUAUAUGGAUGCUUUGAUCCUCCCCCAUCGCAUGGUGGUGAUUUGGAGUUCCUUACUGGCUUAGGAUCCCAACUUUGUUAAACUUAUGGCCAUUGAUAUAUAGUGUCUUGUUUUCUUCUUGUUCUAUUUUGACUUGACUUUGACGAUGCAGAGCUGUUUUAUCAAAGCGAAUUGUGCGCUGUUAUGCGAAACGAAACCUGGGUUUAUAUCUAUAUGAAAUUUUAUUAACCAUAGGCUCUGUAUGGUCUAAAUCUUUAUUUAUAUCUAUAGUUUCAAAUUCAUUAUCAAUAAUAAAUGUGUUUGCAAGAUUAACCGUAACUGUGCUCAUAUGUUGUAGGUUCAAUGCCCAUUCUCUGUGUCUAUUUCUUCUUUCAAUUAUUUGUCAUUUUCCUUCUACUUCUAAUUUGUAAUGGCUGCCACAGUUGUAUUAUUAUCAUUUAGUUGUUUCGUUGUAAGCAGAAACCUGGAAAAAGACUCAUCAUUGGUAGUCAGUUUUUGCUGCAUACAAAAUUCGUCACAUUUAUUUAUGAAUGUAUUAUUUCUAUCUACCUUUUUAUGCCUCCCCUUUUGUACUCGAUUUUGUUUAAAUUUAUAAUAUACCAGCUCCAUUUUUUAAAUAAUAAUAAUAAUAAACCUUACCGAAUUUUUAUCCAGCUUUUUCUGAAGUAUUACAUAAUUUUUUAUAUUAUAUUAAAUGAAUAUAUUAUAGCUUAUCAUAUGUUUUCAAUCCCCAAUAUUUUUAUUUUGUUUUUAUUUUUUUCUUUUACCAUUGCAGUGUAUUUGAUAUAUUAUCUUUUUAAAUUUUAUUUUAUAUAACAAAUUAUAUUUUCUUUAAAUUAAUAUGGGCCGAUUCGGGUCUGGGCUCGGUAUCUAUAUUCUAGGCCGAAUUUGGGUAGAAAUUUAAGCUCAUUUUUCAGGUCGAGCUUAAAAUUGUUUCAAGGCUCGACCUACUCGCAAGUUGAUGAAGAAGUUAAUGUCUUUUUCUAAUCCCAAUCAUUUAUCAAAAAUUUAAAAACACAAAAACACUAAAUUAUAAGAAUAUUUGCAUUAAAGAUGAAUAGAUUAGGUUUCUUUGAUGGAAGAUUUCUCCUUAUAUUUUUUCUACUUCUUGAUUAGAUUUCUUUGGUAGAAGAUUUGCAUCAGUGAUUAUUUUUUCUAUCGGUACCUUCUUCAGAUUUAGUUUCACAUGUUUUGGACACUCAUUAAUGUUAAAUGAGACAUUUUAAUGACAUGUUAAUUUUUUUAUUGAAGGGGCACACAUAGUGGCACCAGGAUGUUGAUUUGAAUACAAGGGUUAUGGUUAAUGAUAGGUUAAGAAAAUCUACAAAAGAGCCUAAGAUGAAUCCAAAGUAUUUGGAUUAACAAGCCACAACACGUAGAAGUCAUGCAGAGAAGACGUCCAAGUUGGAUCCACUAGCCGCUGAAGAAAUAGGACAUGUUUUAAUUUUCUGUUCUCAUUAUCCUAUUUCUGGGAGAUGUGAUUGGAGAAUUAGGAAAGAUUAAUAUUUAAAUUGCUUCAAGUGAAGAAUAAAGGGAGAGGAAUUCCAAUUUAGAUUUCUGCGGUUUGUUCUUACCCAAACUACAGCUUUGAUUGUCACCUAUGUUUAUUUAAUUAUCUCUUUAUUUUUGUCAUCUAACUAUAAAAAGUUAUAAGAUGAUGAAUUAAUUAUUAGUAAAUAUUUCAUUUUUUGUCAUCUAACUUUACUCAAUUAUGAAAAGUUCUAAAAUAAUCAUUCAACUGUUUAAUUUUAUCCUUUUUUUAAUAACUGGAUGUUUUCAUUCUUUCAUUAACGAGUUGGUGGCUAAAAAAAAUGUAAAUAAUUAAAAACUAAAAAAAACAAUCCCAUCAAGGGAAGUAUUCUUCUCUUAAAAAGUAAAUGUGAUUUCAAUAAUAUCUAUGGUUUUACAUAUAAUUAUUUUUGUUGAUUGGACAAGUAUUUGUUUGGUUCAAACGUCCUUUCGCAUAUCAACUGACAAUGGUUUCUUUUCCCUUGAAAGCAGACAGCAGACGACAUCGAGAGUUAUUCAAAGCAAAUUGUCCAAAUCCCAGAAACAGAAACUUGAAAAGGUAGAAAACAACUAAGAUUUGAGGUCGAUAGAUCGAUUGUAAUGGAAAAGAUUUCUAGGCCGCUUUCUUUUUCUCUUCUUAAGAUCAUGAGUUCCUUUACUGCUUACAACCACGUGCAACUUUAAGCAGCCAUUAAAGAAGAAAUGAAUCCUCUAUCGCCA
rnacentral:lncRNA from 1 species